AUGGGGAUGAGGCGCCGGAUCCGGGCGUGGUCCGGGCUGGGCGUGGCACUCCGGAGGUGCCCAGGGAUGCAGAAACAAAGAGUCUGUGCCCAGUCCAAGUUAAAAGGUGAUUAUUGUGAUUAUUAUUUACAUUUAUAUCAGCUUUGGGAGGCCGUGACCCUGCUGGAGUCCGGGGGGGACCUCCAGCCCCCCGGGGGGUCCUUGGUCCUUGUGUGCCACGCCUCUGGAUUCAAUUUUGGGAGUCACUGGAUGGCCUGGUUCCGCCAGAGCCCCGGGAAGGCGCUGGAAUUUGUCGCAGGGAUCAACCCCAGUGGUGGUUACACUCAGUACGCGCCGUCGUUGCAGGGCCGGUUCUCGAUCUCCAGGGACAACGGGCAGAGCUCGGUGACGCUGACCAUGAACAACCUCAAGGACGAGGAUUCCGCCGUUUAUUUCUGUGCCAAAGAGGCUGGUGGUAGCUGGGCUUUGAGCUCUGCGCCCCAAACCUCAGCACUCGGCCCUGGAUCCAAAGCUUGGUCUUGA